UGAACCGAUCCAGCCUGUUUAAACGGAAAGGACAGAGAUCCUGGCUGUUCAAUGUAUUAAAAAAAAUCAGUUGAGACCUAGAGAGCGAGAGCGAGAGAGGGAGAGAGAGAGAGCGAGAGAGAGAGAGGGUGGAGUGAAUGUGUGUGUGAGAGUGUGUGUGUGUGUGUGUUCCUGUGUGAGAGUGUGUAUGUGUGCGAGAGAGAGAGGGAGUGUGUGUGAGAGAGAGAAAGAGGGAGCGGGAGAGAGGAACAGAGGAAGCGAGGGGGGGUGGGGAAAAAAGGAAAAGAAGAUUUUUCUCUAUGUAUAUAAAGAUGGCCACGUUAGCAAACGGACAAGCAGACAAUCCCAGCCUCAGUAGCAACCACACUAACCCCAACACCAACGGGCACAUGAACGGAUUAAAUCACAGUCCAGGGAACACAUCCACCAUUCCCAUGAAGGACCACGAUGCCAUCAAGCUCUUUAUUGGGCAAAUCCCUCGCAACCUGGACGAGAAGGACCUGAAACCUCUCUUUGAAGAGUUCGGAAAGAUCUAUGAACUGACGGUGCUGAAGGACAGGUUUACUGGCAUGCACAAAGGCUGUGCCUUCCUAACAUACUGUGAAAGGGAGUCAGCUCUUAAAGCCCAGAGUGCGCUGCACGAACAGAAGACACUGCCAGGGAUGAACAGACCGAUCCAGGUGAAACCAGCGGACAGCGAGAGCCGAGGAGAAGACAGAAAACUCUUUGUGGGUAUGCUCAACAAACAGCAAUCAGAAGACGACGUGCGCCGGCUAUUCGAGGCAUUUGGCAAUAUUGAGGAGUGCACGAUCCUUCGGGGACCAGAUGGCAACAGCAAAGGGUGCGCGUUUGUGAAAUAUUCCUCACAUGCGGAAGCGCAGGCCGCCAUCAAUGCCUUGCACGGAAGCCAGACAAUGCCGGGGGCCUCGUCGAGCCUGGUGGUCAAGUUUGCGGACACAGACAAGGAACGCACGAUGAGGCGCAUGCAGCAAAUGGCCGGGCAGAUGGGCAUGUUCAACCCCAUGGCGAUACAGUUUGGAGCCUACGGCGCCUACGCCCAGGCACUGAUGCAGCAGCAGGCCGCCAUUAUGGCAUCCGUGGCACAAGGCGGCUACCUAAACCCCAUGGCGGCCUUCGCAGCAGCUCAGAUGCAGCAGAUGGCAGCGCUAAACAUGAACGGCCUGGCCGCCGCACCCAUGACGCCCACCUCAGGUGGCAGCACACCUCCAGGCAUCACCGCAGCAGCCGUGCCUAGUAUCCCAUCUCCCAUUGGGGUGAAUGGUUUCACUGGCCUACCGCCUCAGGCUAACGGGCAGCCUGCCGCAGAAGCCGUGUUUGCCAACGGCAUCCACCCUUACCCAGCACAGAGUCCCACCGCAGCCGACCCUUUGCAGCAAGCCUACGCCGGAGUGCAGCAAUAUGCAGGUCCUGCUUACCCUGCUGCAUAUGGCCAGAUAAGCCAAGCCUUCCCACAGCCGCCUCCCAUGAUCCCACAGCAACAGAGAGAAGGACCAGAGGGCUGUAACCUGUUUAUCUACCAUCUGCCCCAGGAGUUUGGGGACGCAGAGCUGAUGCAGAUGUUCCUGCCAUUCGGUAAUGUCAUCUCCUCGAAAGUGUUUGUGGAUCGGGCGACAAACCAAAGUAAAUGCUUUGGCUUUGUGAGUUUUGACAAUCCUGCUAGUGCCCAAGCUGCCAUCCAGGCUAUGAACGGCUUCCAGAUUGGCAUGAAGAGGCUGAAGGUGCAGCUGAAGAGGCCAAAGGAUGCUAACCGCCCCUACUGAAGCAUUGUGGGAAACUCUGGAUAAGCAAGGUCUAGCACAGAGCCAGUCAAAUCCACCACAGUCUCGCGCUGAGCUAGGAAAAAAGUUCACGUAAUGACAGGAAAGUGGAGAAUACAGUCCCCCAGUCCGGCAUCAGCUGAAUGGGCCACAUUUAGAGAAAUAUAUAUAUAUAUAUUAAAUAAAUAUAUAUAGGAACGAGAACUGUUGGAUUACACCUUUAACAUAUCAGCAAAUAUCAGUCAAGCUGAAGACUUCAGACUUACUCUCUUUCUGAUUGUUUAGACUGUACCAUUUCUUUAAGAAAAGUCACGUCAGCUGGGUUCGAAAGGACAUAAGCUUGAAACAGAAACAUAAAUAACAACAACAACGACGAAAAACCACAGACAAAAUCACGACAGGAGCAAGAUCGUCUAGGAUUUCUGCAGUGAAACUGAUGUUACCACAGCGGCUUUUCUCCAAACAGGAAAUGCAAACCUUGAUACUGACAAGAGGAGUGCCUGUUUGCCACCAAGGAUGCAGUUGCUAUGGAAACCCCAUGGCACCAGUCACUAAGCAUCUGUAUCUGUCAUUCCUUAGCUAUAUAGGGACCAAAGGACAUAACUUUUUAUCGCAGACUUGUAGCUGUAUGUAAAUUACAGAAGUUCUUUCCUUUUCUCAUGAGCUGUUCCUAUAACAGGUUUUGAGAGCAAUUAUAUGAAAUAUGUAAAAACUAAAAAAAAAAACCGCUUAAACGCUUUUAAAAAAAAUGGCAAGAUAAUAGUUCUUUGAUACUUGGGGAGGAUCUUUGGUUAUACAUUAAUUAAGAGUCUAUGAAACUUUCGUAUGGUUUUCUGUAUAAUAUGUAUGGAUUGAGUGCUUAGAAGGGGAAGGUUGAGGUGGGUAUCUGUGGAAAGCAGACAAAGGAAAAGGAGAAACCCACAUAAAUAAGCAGAUCACUGGACUGGCAAGUGAUGGUGAUGAUGGUGAUGAUGUUGAUGAAGAAGAAGAAGGCGCAGAAGACGAAGACAAGAAGGCUGAUGCAAAGUAGAAAGAACACAAGUUUGUAAAUGCUUCUGACUCCACCCGCCCUAAAAUAGCUGUACAGAAUUUAAAAAAGAAAAAAAAAGUUUAAAAUACCUAUAUAAUAGGGGGGAAAGGAUUAGAUGACAUAAAAAGCAAAAAUAAAAAAAAUAAAAAAGCAAAAAAAAAUAUACAUAGAGGUUAGCAUUAAUGCUAAAAAAAAAAAAUCCACAAAGAUGUUGUAGAACUGUAACUUUUGUAGAGUUUAGAAUGAAAUCAGUUCCUGCUCUCAGCCAACUGCUGUUGGAAGCUGUGUCUUAUUGGGGGUGGGGGGAAGGGGGGGCAAAGGAGAAGAUGGCUGAUCUCGGCAGCUUUUUAAACUGCAAGCAUUCCAGCUAGUAAUAAAUAAAUAAAACUAAUAAGCAAACGAAACAAAAACAAAAAAAUCUCAAUUCCUGUAGGCAACGCAAAGGGGGGCUGGGGCGGGGGACUUGACGGCUAUCUUCUUGCAGACUUUCGGAAGUUAGUUCGAACUUGAUGAAAAAAUAAAUAAACUGGAAAAAGAAAACCACAGCUAAGACGCUUUCAUGUUUCCAUAAGCUGUCGCCAGCAACCUCCAAUCAUCUUUCGCUUCAGUAGCUUCCAUAUUUGCUCUAGAACCCUUCAGGACAGGGGUGGGGUGGGAGCGGGGUUUAGCCUAGAACCUUAAUCUUAAAAAAAAAAAACACAAAAAACGUUUAAAAAAAUAUUUAAAACACAAAAACAAAAAACAAAAAAAUUACAAAAAUGCAAUCUCUUUGAAGAAUUUCUGAAACUGUUUACAAGGAAUUUUGAAAAACAGGGGGAUGUUUAAAAAUAAAAGAUGCUGGCUCUGUUUUUCUGUAAAUAAAUUUGCAUAUUUUGUAGGACUUUUAAUUGUAAUGAUAGAGAAAAAAAAUCAAGGAAAACUAUUUAAGGAAAGCACGAUAUUUAUCUUUGGUAAAUGACUUUAGAGCAGUUUUAAAAAAAGUUGCUUUAAAAUCUGAAUCAGAAAAAUAGAAACAAUGAAUUAUUUAAGAACACAUAUAUUUUAAAGUAUAUCAUAUUUAUUAUAAUUUAUUUCCACUGUGUUAAAACUUGAUUUUUAAGGGUGUGUUUUUUCCCCUUUACUCCAUUUUAUUGGACCGAGAACGACAACACUGUUCUUUUACGAAUAAUUGUUUGCCUUUUCGUUCAGAUUUGGGGGAUUUCUUAUUUUGUUUUUUAAAGAAACUGUUCUCUGUCUUUCUCCCUGUUGGGCCUGAUUUUGAAGUCUUUAUACUGGCUAAACACCCCCCUGGUCUUCUCUGGUCGUUUGGCUGGGAUGAGACCACUGAAACAAGCCCCUAAUCUAGGUGUGUAAAUGACUCUGCAGUUCCAUACAACUGCUCUCUGAUUCUCAAUUCCCUAAAACUCCUUGUAAUCUUCUGUAAUUAUUGAAUGACGCUUACCAGCUUAGCCCUAAAUAAAGCACAGUUUAAAAAAAGAA